AUAUCAAUAAGCGGAAGGAAAAGAAACUAACAAGGAUUCCCCUAGUAACUGCGAGUGAAGAGGGAAGAGCUCACAUUUAAAAUCUGGCGGUCUGGCGGCCGUCCGAGUUGUAGCCUGGAGAAGCGUCUUCUGCGCCGGACCGUGUACAAGUCUCCUGGAACGGAGCGUCGUAGAGGGUGAUAAUCCCGUCGUCGACACGGACCCCCGGUUAGCUCUGCGAGGCGCUCUCGAAGAGUCGAGUUGUUUGGGAAUGCAGCUCAAAGUGGGUGGUGAAUUCCAUCUAAAGCUAAAUACAGGCGAGAGACCGAUAGCGGACAAGUACCGUGAGGGAAAGAUGAAAAGCACUCUGGAAAGAGAGUUAAACAGCACGUGAAAUCGCUGAGAGGGAAACGCUUGAAGUCAGUCGCGUCGGCGUUUAGGAGGUCAGCCUCGCGGGAUAAUAACCGCGGCGCGCACUCUCCCGUCGACGGGCCAGCAUCGAUUUCGACCGCCGGAGAAGGGCUCGGGGAACGUGGCACCUCCGGGUGUGUUAUAGCCCCCUGUCGUAUGCGGCGGUCGGGAUCGAGGUUUUACAUGUUCGCAGCACGCCUUCUUGGCCGGGGCCGUUCGCGGUCCACGUCCGUGCUUAGGAUGCUGGCGUAAUGGCUUUAAACGACCCGUCUUGAAACACGGACCAAGGAGUCCAACUCGCCUG
rnacentral:rRNA from 1 species